rnacentral:rRNA from 1 species
UACAGAGGGUGCGAGCGUUGAUCGGAAUUACUGGGCGUAAAGCGUGCGUAGGCGGCUAUCUAAGUCGGGUGUGAAAGCCCCGGGCUCAACCUGGGAAUUGCAUUCGAGACUGAAUAGCUAGGGUACGGUAGAGGGAAGCGGAAUUUCCGGUGUAGCGGUGAAAUGCGUAGAUAUCGGAAGGAACAUCAGUGGCGAAAGCGGCUUCCUGGACCAGUACCGACGUUCAGGCACGAAAGCGUGGGGAGCAAACAGG